CCCCAACCAGCUGACACCCUCGGAGCCCCACCUGUGCCUGCUGGAUGUUGGCUACCUCCUCAAUACCAGCUGCCUGCCCCUCCUGCAGCCCACUCGGGACGUGGACCUCAUCCUGUCAUUGGACUACAACCUCCACGGAGCCUUCCAGCAGUUGCAGCUCCUGGGCCGGUUCUGCCAGGAGCAGGGGAUCCCGUUCCCACCCAUCUCACCCAGCCCCAAAGAGCUGCUCCAGCCUUGGGAGUGCCACACCUUCUCCGACUCCACCUGCCCCGGAGCCCCCGCGGUGCUGCACUUUCCUCUGGUCAGCGACUCCUUCUGGGAGUACUCGGCCCCUGGUGAGCUGCUGUUCACCUCCCCAUCCUGCUGCCCCAGUCCCCCACACCUCCUCCGUCCCCUGUGCCUCUCCAACCCCGUCUUCCCCACAACGUGUUCCCCAUGCCAGGCUGCACUCUCUCCACAGGGGUCCGGCAGCCACCCGAGGAGGCGGCAGCUGGGGAGGUGAACCUGUCUUCAUCGGACUCUCCCUACUACUACACGAAGGUGACCUACAGCCAGGAGGACGUGGACAAGCUGCUGCACCUGACACAUUACAAUUUCUGCAACAACCAGGAGCAGCUGCUGGAGACUCUGCGCCAGGCAGUGCAGCGGAGGCGGCAGCGCAGGCCCCACUGAUGGCCGGGGCCCCUGCCACCCCUAACUAACUCUCAUUCAUUCCCUGGCUGCUGAGUUGCAGGUGGGAACUGUCAUCACGCAGUGCUUCAGAGCCUCGGGCUCAGGUGGCACUGUCCCAGGGUCCAGGCUGAGGGCUCCCUUGCGCCUCAGCAGUUUGCAGUGGGGUAAGGAGGCCAAGCCCAUUUGUGUAAUCACCCAAAACCCCCCGGCCUGUCCCUGUUUUCCCUUCUGCGCUACCUUGAGUAGUUGGAGCACUUGAUACAUUACAGACUCAUACAAAUGUGAGGCGCUGAGAAGGGCCAUGUCAUUCUAGGCUCUUGGCUGUACAUGGCAAGGGCUGGUACAGAGCUCGCUCUUCAGUGUUCUUCCUCCGAAGAGCACAUUCUCUGCACACAUCUGCGUCUACCUGUGCUCAGAGUCACCCCUUCCAGGCAAGGAGGAGGCCACAUGGGCCUGGGGUAGCCCUGGCCUUGCCCACCUGCUCUGCCGUAACACGUCUCCUCUUCAUCCAGACAGGAAUGCAGGGGGAGGCCAGCCAAUGGCUGUUUCCUGCCACAUGGUAGGACCCAUCUAACCAGAAGGAACUGUCUAUUCCAGAAUCUGGGCCUGGGGAACUGGGUUGAAGCAGCCACGGGAAGGAGCCCUUUUGCCUGUAGCUGAGUCUCAUUCUGGUCCCUUAGAUGUGUCCUCGCUUGUGCCCCUGAAGUUUGGUGUUGCACUGGGGUUCACCUCAGGGAUCAGACCUGUUGGGAAAACGGAAUGAAUUUAGUAGGGUAUGG
rnacentral:lncRNA from 1 species